rnacentral:rRNA from 1 species
AGAGUUUGAUCAUGGCUCAGGACGAACGCUGGCGGCGUGCUUAACACAUGCAAGUCGAGCGGAAAGGCCCUUCGGGGUACUCGAGCGGCGAACGGGUGAGUAACACGUGAGUAACCUGUCCUUGGCUUUGGGAUAACCCUCGGAAACGGGGGCUAAUACCGGAUAGGACCUGGCCCUGCAUGGGGUUGGGUGGAAAGUUUUUCGGCCAGGGGUGGGCUCGCGGCCUAUCAGCUUGUUGGUGGGGUGAUGGCCUACCAAGGCGACGACGGGUAGCCGGCCUGAGAGGGCGACCGGCCACACUGGGACUGAGACACGGCCCAGACUCCUACGGGAGGCAGCAGUGGGGAAUAUUGCACAAUGGGCGGAAGCCUGAUGCAGCGACGCCGCGUGAGGGAUGACGGCCUUCGGGUUGUAAACCUCUUUCAGCAGGGACGAAGCGCAAGUGACGGUACCUGCAGAAGAAGCGCCGGCCAACUACGUGCCAGCAGCCGCGGUAAGACGUAGGGCGCGAGCGUUGUCCGGAUUUAUUGGGCGUAAAGAGCUCGUAGGCGGCUUGUUGCGUCGACCGUGAAAACCCGGGGCUCAACUUCGGGCUUGCGGUCGAUACGGGCGGGCUAGAGUUCGGUAGGGGAGACUGGAAUUCCUGGUGUAGCGGUGAAAUGCGCAGAUAUCAGGAGGAACACCGGUGGCGAAGGCGGGUCUCUGGGCCGAUACUGACGCUGAGGAGCGAAAGCGUGGGGAGCGAACAGGAUUAGAUACCCUAGUAGUCC